rnacentral:lncRNA from 1 species
CAGGUUAAUAAAGACUUUUAAAUGUCUUUCAAGAAAACCUAAGACCAAUGAGAUGGUUCAUCUGGUAAAGAUACCUGCUGUUAGUCCUGAGGACAUGCGUUCCAAUCCCCAGAACCCAUGGUGGAAGGAAAGAACUAACCCCUGCAAGUUGGCACGUGCACACACACACACUGCAAAACAUAUUGAGUCUCCAACUCCAGCCCAUGGAUGGAAUGAUGCUGCCCACAUUCAGGCUCUAGUUGUCCUGGUGUUCUCUAGGAGGCAAUCCUCUUGCUUCAGCAUCCCAUUACUAGGAUUACAGGUGUGAGCCACUACACCCACCUUCUAAUAAGUAUUGGAACUUUUUCCUCAAGGUAUUUCUCGGAUGGGAAGUGCAUCUGCUCCAUUUUGCUAUCUGUGGUACCUAAUAUUGUUUGGUUCAUAGUAGACUUCAGCAAAUAUAUUGUCUAUGAGGUAUUAUCUAGCAGGCAGAAAUCUCACCAUCUCUGACCAUAUAGCAAGGUGCUGGAUAGAAAAAUAAAUAUGAAUCCCUAAGCAUAGGCACUUGAAACUGGCAACAAGCAAGAUGGCCAGGAACAGAGUAUGGAAAGAAAAUAAAUGGAACACUGGGAAAAGGUAGGUGUCUGGUAGGGGAUGAAAGGAAAAAGAAAAGGAACGAUAGGGCACUUUCAGGCAAGCUUGCCACCUGGGUUCAGUCCCUGGGAAACACAUGAAACAGCGAACCAACACCCACAAAGUUGUCCUCUGACCUCCACGCCUGUGCUGUAGAACAAAUGCACACAAACACACCCAAAAAAUAAAUUAUGAUUAUUAUUUUUAAGGACUUCUUCGAGGAUGUACUUUCAGGGAUGCCACGAAAAAAGUUCAAAGGAAUUAAAGUUAGUCAGGGAUAGGCUUUCUUACAGGUAAGGUGGGAAACAUUUGUGUUUGUGGUUAGCAAGCAGCUGACUCUGAGGUUAGCUUUUUUUUUUUCAAGUCUCUGAGGAAGGAAGUGACAGUCAUUGUGAAAUCUUUUUUUUCUAACUCCGCAGGAAUUCAAUUGUGGGUCCCUGUCUGCCUUGCCAGCAAAGUCGAAGGAGCUGGGAAAUGUGGAAAUUAAGGUAAAGUCAGGUCUCAAAAAUGCUCUUUCUCAGAAUGGUAAUGAAGUGACAUCUUCAAUCACUUUAUGCUAUAGAAAAAUCCAAAUAAAAUGUUCAC